AGAAACUUACAACAAAGAGUCCCUCCCGACUGUUUACCAAAAACACAGCACUCUGCUAACUCGUAAGAGGAUGUAUAGGGUGUGACGCCUGCCCGGUGCUCGAAGGUUAAUUGAUGGGGUUAGCAUUAGCGAAGCUCUUGAUCGAAGCCCGAGUAAACGGCGGCCGUAACUAUAACGGUCCUAAGGUAGCGAAAUUCCUUGUCGGUUAAAUACCGACCUGCAUGAAUGGCGUAACGAGAUGGGAGCUGUCUCAAAGAGGGAUCCAGUGAAAUUGUAGUGGAGGUGAAAAUUCCUCCUACCCGCGGCAAGACGGAAAGACCCCGUGGACCUUUACUACAGCUUGACACUGCUAUUUGGAUAAGAAUGUGCAGGAUAGGUGGGAGGCUUUGAGUAUAUGACGCCAGUUGUAUAGGAGCCAUUGUUGAGAUACCACUCUUUCUUAUUUGGGUAGCUAACCAGCUUGAGUUAUCCUCAAGUGGGACAAUGUCUGGUGGGUAGUUUGACUGGGGCGGUCGCCUCCCAAAUAAUAACGGAGGCUUACAAAGGUUGGCU
rnacentral:rRNA from 1 species